rnacentral:rRNA from 1 species
UACGGAGGGUGCAAGCGUUAUCCGGAUUUACUGGGUUUAAAGGGUGCGUAGGCGGGUUGGUAAGUCCGUGGUGAAAUCCCCAAGCUUAACUUGGGAACUGCCGUGGAUACUAUCAAUCUUGAAUAUCGUGGAGGUAAGCGGAAUAUGUCAUGUAGCGGUGAAAUGCUUAGAUAUGACAUAGAACACCAAUUGCGUAGGCAGCUUACUACACGAUCAUUGACGCUGAGGCACGAAAGCGUGGGGAGCAAACAGG